rnacentral:rRNA from 1 species
GUAAGGAAUAUUGGACAAUGGAGGCAACUCUGAUCCAGCCAUGCCGCGUGAAGGAUUAAGGCCCUAUGGGUUGUAAACUUCUUUUAGACGGGACAAAACCCCUUUACGUGUAAAGGGUUGAUGGUACUGUCAGAAUAAGCAUCGGCUAACUUCGUGCCAGCAGCCGCGGUAAUACGAAGGAUGCAAGCGUUAUCCGGAAUUAUUGGGUUUAAAGGGUGCGUAGGCGGACUAAUAAGUCAGUGGUGAAAGCCUGCAGCUUAACUGCAGAAUUGCCGUUGAUACUGUUAGUCUUGAGUACAGUUGAGGUAGGCGGAAUGUGUCAUGUAGCGGUGAAAUGCUUAGAUAUGACACAGAACACCGAUUGCGAAGGCAGCUUGCUAAGCUGUAACUGACGCUGAGGCACGAAAGCGUGGGGAGCAAACAGGAUUAGAAACCCUAGUAGUCC